rnacentral:lncRNA from 1 species
UUGAGGUUUCUAGUAGAUAUCUAUGCUUUCUCUCAACAACACCAUUUUGUUGUGGUGUGUGAGAGAAAGAAGUUUGAUGUAUUAUGCCAUGUUCAGCAAAGAAGUUGCUGCCACAGCCACUAGAACCAAGUUCAAAUGCAUUAUCACUUCUAAUGGUUUGAACCAUAGACUGGAAUUGAGUUUUAACCAUGGCAAUGAAAGCUUUAAUGAGGGGAAAGGCAUUACUCCUGGACCCCAUAAGGUGGGUCCAAGUAGCUCUGGUAAAGUCAUCAACUAUAGUUAAAAAAUAUUUACAACCAUUAUGAGUAGAAGUGGCAUAGGGACCUAUAAGGUGGGUCCAAGUAGCUCUAAUAAAAUCAUCAACUAUUGUUAAAAAAUAUCUACAACCAUUAUGAGUAGAAGUGGCAUAUGGACCCCAUGUAUCAACAUGGAUUAGUUGAAAAGCAUGUGUUGUUUUAAUGGAACUGUCAGGAAAGGAUAGUCUAGAUUGCCUGGCCAAAGGACAUAUAGUAUAGAGAAAAGGCUGCUUUGUGGAAAAUUUACAUGGUAUAGAAGGCAAAUUGAGAAGGUGAAGAGACUUGUCUUUGUCUCUCGUCUUGGAGUAGAAUAUUGUAUGCACAAUCCAGAGUUGGUGGAGGUUGUAGCAUAAGAAUAUUGCUUCUGACUCCUACAUAGAUGUCAUUGAGCCCCAUAAGGAACUGAUGCAGUUUGUUUUCAUCAUCUUCCCUUUGAAGCUCAGUUCUGGCAUUGCAUGUGCAAGUGUUGCCACGAGAUGCACGCAUGAAGUUCAGUUCAUCCCACAGUUUCUUUAGCUUGUCGAAAUAAGAAGCUAUAUCCAGAGACCCCUGAUUAGUUGAUGCCAGCUCCUGCUUAAUCUCAAAUAUCCUGGUUCCAUUCACAGUCCCAUAUCUACUAUUGAGUUGAUUCCAGAUGCUUUGAGCAGUGUCGGAAUACUGAACACUCUCGGCUAUCUCUGACGCAAGGGAAUUAGUAAGCCAAGAGAUAACCAUAUUGUUGCACCUAUCCCAUUGCCUAAACUGAGGAGAGUUUUCUGGAGGUUUGGGAAUCGUUCCGUCAAUGAAACAUAUUUUAUUCCUAGCAGAUAACGAGACGAUUAUAUUACGUCUCCAUCCCCAAAAACCAACCCAUGAAAAGUGGUUGCUCACCAAAGAAAUUCCCGGAACAUCAGAAGACAAAAGAAACAAAGGGUUUGAGGGGUCAAUUACAAAAGUAUCAGUCCUAGACUCAGAUGUAUCACAAAAAUUCACCAUGUAUCACCAACAUUAACCAUUUUGACCGAGAAAGGAUUUUGGGCCUGAAGUUUGUAAGAUUAAGAAACCCUAAGUGCUCCUAGGUAAAUAAUUCCAGAAAUCGACUGACUCCGACUGACUCCUACGUUUGAACUGACGAGAGAAAGAAUGAAACUCAGAAAAACUCAGAUAAAUCAACAAUCACCGAAGGAUAUCCAGAGAAAAAUAGAGAAAAAGAGAAAAACCUAGAUUUGUCGGAGAAGACUGAAACUUUGACGAGAAACGGUGAGGGUAACAUCGCAAUGGAGUCCGUGACAAGCGGAAUCAUAGUCCCCGCUCUGAUACCAUGUUAAAGUCGACCAUUUCCAUGGAUGAACAGUAUCUAUUUUCAGAUGAUAGAGAGAGAAAGAGGAAGAAGCUUUUAC